CCUACGGGUGGCUGCAGUGAGGAAUAUUGGUCAAUGGCCGAAAGGCUGAACCAGCCAAGUCGCGUGCGGGAUGAAUGCCCUACGGGUUGUAAACUUCUUUUGUCCGGGAGUAAAGCCCCUCACGUGUAGGGGUUGGCAUGUACCUUAUGAAAAAGGACCGGCUAACUCCGUGCCAGCAGCCGCGGUAAUACGGAGGAUGCGGGCGUUAUCCGGAUUUAUUGGGUUUAAAGGGAGGGUAGGCCGAGUAUCAAGGCUGCUGUGAAAUGUUCGGGCUCAACCCGCUCCUGGCAGGGGAAACUGGUGUGUUUGAGUGGGCGAGAAGCAGGCGGAAUGCGUGGUGUAGCGGUGAAAUGCAUAGAUAUGACGAAGAACCCCGAUUGCGAAGGCAGCAUGCCGGCGCGGAACUGACGCUGAUGCACGAAAGCGUGGGUAUCGAACAGGAUUAGAUACCCGUGUAGUC
rnacentral:rRNA from 1 species